GAUAUAUUGUAUGUUUAAGGGGAAGUGUGGAGACCAUGGGCAGAUUUACUGUGGGGUUAGGGGGGCAUUAAACCCCCAAUAGAAUCUCUCUAACCCCUCUUAUAAAGUGUUCAACCCCACCAAAAUUUCGCUUCACUCCUCCUAUUUAGUGUGUAACCCUAACGCCUAACCCCUGUAAAAAGCUCGCUCAGUCAGUGCUGCUUGUAGCCCGUGUGCAGGCCCAAGGGAGCAGGCUCAAGGGAACUUGAUAGUGGUCCCUAGCUGCUCCCUUGGGCCUGCACGCGGGCUAUGCUGCUUGCAACCCACUAGAAAUUUUUCCACCCCUCCUUUAAAAAAAAUGAAAAUCUGCCCUUGGUAGAGACUAAAAGGAAGGGCUUGAAAUUUUCAGCACUAUCCAGUGGGAUACUAGAAACUUGAGAUCUGAUAGCCAUCCCAAAAACCUAGUAUCCAAACACUGAAACAAGGCAAACUGAGUUUUUAUAAAUUGUAAUGAAUUUUAUAAUAUACUGAAUCUAAGGUAUGGUAUAAAAGGAUCGUAACUGAUAGAGAAACAUCUGUGGAGGAGAGAAAUUUGUACCCAAUCGUUACUGAGUUUAUAGUCAUGUCCAAUAUCUAAAUUUAAAAUCAAAAUUUUGUAUUCCAUGGAUAUCAGGCUACUGUAAAUUUCAAGUUGUGAUAAUUAUUCAGAUAAAGAGUUUUCGAAAUUAUUUGGGACAAUUACAGUCACCAUCUCUGUCCAUGAUCUCACUCCCCAUCGUACCUGCCAGUGCGUCUAUUAACUUUGCACAUCACACCAUCUCGAGGCAUCAAAUUCAUCCAACCCACCAUUUGAUCAGUUUGAUUUGGGAGAAGCUUGAACUGAAACUUUUGAAACAGCCUUGCAAGGAAAACUUUGGACUCAAACUUUGAAAAUGUCUGUCCAAUGCAAUUAUGAGGACCAAUGGAAAAUGUAUCAUGCUCAAGUUUGGGAUGUUUCCAGCAUCUGCAAAUCUUUCUGGGUCAAAAACUUCGGGAUCUUUCCAGAUUUCUGGGUUCCUAGAAAAGAACAUGGACCUGCUAGCAACUCCGGUUCCUUUUGGUAUUUGAUAACCUCCAACGGUGAUCUCUUGUAAUACUUCUCUGGUAGGUGCUGGGGCAAUGGGACGUUUCCUUAGAUUCUCUUCCAUUACUUGGCCCAUGUAUUUUAGUUUUGCCAAAUCAUCAAAUUCAACUUCUUCUCGCUCACCGAGAACUUCUUUGAUUUCAUUCAAAAGCUUUGCUUCAACAUGGGGGUUUCUGAGAAUUUCAUAUAAUGUAAAUGCCAACGCAUUUGCUGUUGUUUCUUGGCCAGAAAUAAAUAUUGUUAAGAAUUCGUCAACGAUCUCCUCCUUUGUUAAACUACCAUCGUUAAUCAAAAGAUUUAGCAAAUCGUUGGGUACAUCCUUGUUUUCAGCAAUGUCCUGCAUUCGAGUGGUGAUGCAAUCUGAAGCAAAUUUUUGAAGAAAUCGUGCCGCAUUUAUUUGAACUCUCUGGGAAUCUGUUUGAAAUAGUUUAAAUUGAAAAAUCCCCAACAAUUGAGAGCUUAUGGGAAUUUGAAAGUUUGCUAGUACCCCAUCAAGGUAGUGGCGAAUUGCGGAGGGAAAUGGGGAAUCAGGGUCCUCGAUUGUGGUGGUAUUCAUAUCAAAUCCCACUUUGCUGAUGGUGUCGAGUGUGGCUUUUGCAAAUUCCUUAAUUAACCAUACUGACCGGUUUAGCACCAUCAGCUACCUCGCCCAUCCGAUUCAAAAGUCUAUCGGAAACAUUGUUAAAAUUUGUCAUGAAAUCUUUCAAGUAUUUCCGAUGAAAAGCUGGAUUCAUAAUGUGCCGUUUCUUAUGCCAGGAUAACUCAUCAGCAUUCGUGGCUAUGCCAUAUCCCAAAACCCUCUCCCCAAAUAUGAACCCAAAUUUACUAUAUUCGAAAGAGGGCCGAAUUAGGUAUUUAUGGUUGUUUAUAAAUACUUCCCUGACAUAGUCUGGGUGGCCAAGGUAUACUGUACAUCUGUGGAGAAAAGUAAUCAAAAAGAUGGGUCCAUAUUCCAGUCGUUUUUCCGUCAAAUAUUCGGUCAAAGUUUUUCCAGUCGCUUUCUCGUAUUUCCAGAAGUCAGGAAGGUUGCCAAAUAUGAAGCUUGAACGCGGUGGUCCUGGCAAAUGGGCGUUCCGUUUGUGCACAUAAUGCAAGUAUAGCAUAAAACACAGGAAUAAACAACCAAAAGCAAUCAAAAUUGUGCCAAUAAACCACAAAAAUAUUGAGGCUAAAACGCUAAAAUUCAUGAUUUCAAUCAAUUAAACGUGUAAAAUGAGAUUCAUGUAAGGAGGCUCUGCGGAGAAGAGAUUGGCCGGCCACAAAAC
rnacentral:lncRNA from 1 species